rnacentral:pre_miRNA from 1 species
GUGACAGAAGAGAGUGAGCACACAUGGUGUUUUCUUGCAUGGUCAUGCUGAAGCUCUGUGUGCUCACUCUCUAUCUGUCAC